GAUGAACGCUGGCGGCGUGCUUAACACAUGCAAGUCGAACGGAAAGGCCCAGCUUGCUGGGUACUCGAGUGGCGAACGGGUGAGUAACACGUGGGUGAUCUGCCCUGCACUCUGGGAUAAGCCUGGGAAACUGGGUCUAAUACCGGAUAUGACCAACUGUCGCAUGGUGGUUGGUGGAAAGCUUUUGCGGUGUGGGAUGGGCCCGCGGCCUAUCAGCUUGUUGGUGGGGUAAUGGCCUACCAAGGCGACGACGGGUAGCCGACCUGAGAGGGUGAUCGGCCACACUGGGACUGAGACACGGCCCAGACUCCUACGGGAGGCAGCAGUGGGGAAUAUUGCACAAUGGGCGCAAGCCUGAUGCAGCGACGCCGCGUGAGGGAUGACGGCCUUCGGGUUGUAAACCUCUUUCACCAGGGACGAAGCGGAAGUGACGGUACCUGGAGAAGAAGCACCGGCCAACUACGUGCCAGCCGCCGCGGUAACAC
rnacentral:rRNA from 1 species